GAUGAACGCUGGCGGCGUGCCUAAUACAUGCAAGUCGAGCGAACAGACGAGGAGCUUGCUCCUUCGACGUUAGCGGCGGACGGGUGAGUAACACGUAGGUAACCUACCUAUAAGACUGGGAUAACUUCGGGAAACCGGAGCUAAUACCGGAUAAUAUUUCGAACCGCAUGGUUCGAUAGUGAAAGAUGGCUUUGCUAUCACUUAUAGAUGGACCUGCGCCGUAUUAGCUAGUUGGAAGGUAACGGCUUACCAAGGCAAAGAUACGUAGCCGACCUGAGAGGGUGAUCGGCCACACUGGAACUGAGACACGGUCCAGACUCCUACGGGAGGCAGCAGUAGGGAAUCUUCCGCAAUGGGCGAAAGCCUGACGGAGCAACGCCGCGUGAGUGAUGAAGGUCUUCGGAUCGUAAAACUCUGUUAUUAGGGAAGAACAAACGUGUAAGUAACUGUGCACGUCUUGACGGUACCUAAUCAGAAAGCCACGGCUAACUACGUG
rnacentral:rRNA from 1 species